UUUAGAGUUAGGAAGGGUUUAGGGUUAGAAAAGAUUUAGGGUUAGGUAGGGUUUAUGGUUAAAAAGGGCAUAGGGUAGGUAGGGUUUAGGGUUAGUAGGAUUUAGUGUUAGGUAGGGUUUAGGGUUGGUAGGGUUUAGGGCUAGGUAAAGUUUAAGGUUAGGUAGGGUUUAGGGUUAGGUAGGGUUAGGUAGGGUUUAGAGGUAAGUAGGGUUUAGGGUAGGUAGGGUUUAGAGUUAGGUAGGGUUUAGGGUUAUGUUGGGUUUAGGAUUAGAAGGGGUAGGGUUUAGUGUUAGCUAGGGUUUAGGGUAGGUAGGGUUUAGGGUUAUGUAGGGCUUAGGGUUAGUAGGGUUUAGGGUUAGAAGGGUUUAGGGUUAGGUAGGGUUUAAGGUUAGAAAGGGUUUAGGGUAGGUAGGGUUCAGGGUUAGGUAGGGUUUAGGGUUUAGAAAGGUUUUAGGUUAGGUAGGGUUAGUAGGGUUUAGGGUUAUGAAGGGUUAGGGUUAGGGUUAGGUAGGGUUUAGGGUUAUGCAUGGUUUAAGGUUAGUAGGGUUUAGGGUUAGUAGGGUUUAGGGUUAGAAGGGGUUAGGUAGGGUUUAGGGUUAGAAGGGGUUAGGUAGGGUUUAGGGUUAGAAGGGGUUAGGUAGGGUUUAGGGUUACAUAAGGUUUAGGGUUUAAGGUAGGUAGGGUUUAGGGUUAUGUAGGGCUUAGCGUUAGUAGGAUUUAGGGUUAGGUAGGGUUUAGGGUUAGGUAGGGUUUAAGGUUUGGUAGGGUUUAGAAUUAGGUAGGGUUUAAGGUUAGGUAGGGUUUAGGGUUACGUAGGGUUUAGGGUUAGAAAGGGUUUAUGGUUAGUAGGGUUUAAGAUUAGUAGGGUUUAGGGAUAGUAGGGUUUAGGGCUAGAAGGGGUUUAGGGUUAGAAAGGUUUUAGGUUAGGUAACGUUAGGUAGGAUUGUAGGGUUUAGGGUUAUGUAGGAUUAGGGUUAGGUAGGGUUUAGGGUUAGUAGGGUUUAGGGUUAGGUAGAGUUUAGGAUAGGUAGGGUUUAGGGUUAGGGUUAGGUAGGGUUUAGGGUUUGGUUUUAGGUAGGAUUUUAGGGUUUAGGCGUACUGUUUUGUCUCUAUAUUAUUUUUAGCAAAUAUAAACAAACUAGGUGUUUUGCCCGCGAUGCGGGCUUAAACAUUUUCAUAAAUUUUUGAAAAGUUGUUUUCAAUUUAUGUAAAGAAUAUUAUUUUUUGUGAAUGAGCAAAGAUUUAAGGAUGGUUAUUGGCAAAUAAAUGUUUGAGAACUUUAAUAUUUUUUUUUUGAGAUUCUACUGCUAUAAUAUUUUAAGGGUUUUUGAAAUAUUACUAAUUAAUUGUUAUUGAAUCGAAGAUUUUCAAAUUUCAUCAAAAUUCUUUAUUUGUUUAAGAUAAUAUUUUUCAUUCUAUUUUAACAAAAUUUAACGUUAUUAAAAUAUAAUCUAUCUUUUUUAUUCAUAAGAUACAACUUUCAAAAUAUUUUGGCAAUUAAAAUAAUAGAUGUAAGAUUUAAAAUCCACUAUGUAAUUUGUUAUUUGAAUAUCACAACAAAAAAUUACAUAGCGGUAGAGUUUAGAUUUUUUUAACUUUAAAUUUUAAGAUUAUUUUUUAGUGUUUAGGGUUGGUAGAGUUUUAGCGUUAGAUGGGAUUUAUGGUUAGGUUUAGGUAGGAUUAAUAGGGUUUAGGGUUAGGCAAGGUUUAGGGUUAACAGGAUUUAGGGUUAGGUAGGGUUUAGGGUUAGAAAGGAUUUAGGGUUAGGUAGGGAGUUAAGCAGGGUUUAGGGUUAAAAAGGAUUUAGGGUUAGGUAGGGUUUAGGGUUAAAAAUGGUUUAGGGUUGGUAGCGUCUAGGGCUAGGUAGAGUUUAGGGUUAGGUAGGGUUUAGGGUUAUGUAGGGUUUAGGGUUAGAAGGGGUUAGGUAGGGUUUAGGAUUAGGUAGGGUUUAGGGUUAUGUAGGGCUUAGGGUUAGUAGGGUUUAGGGUUAAUAGGGUUAGAAGGGGUUUAGGGUUAGGUAGGGUUUAAGGUUAAAAAGGGUUUAGGGUAGGUAGGGUUUAGGGUUAGGUAGGGUUUAGGGUUUGGUAGGGUUUAGAAUUAGGUAGGGUAUAGGGUUAGGUAGGGUUUAGGGUUACGUAGGGUUUAGGGUUAGUAGGGUUUAAGGUUAGUAGGGUUUUGGGUUAGGUAGGGUUUAGGGUUAGUAGGGUUUUGGGUUAGGUAGGGUUUAGGGCUAGAAAUGGUUUAGGGUUAGAAAGGUUUUAGGUUAGGUAGGGUUUAGGUUAGGUAGGGUUAGUAGGGUUUAUGGUUAUGUAGGGGUAGGGUUAGGUAGGGUUUAGGGUUAUUAGGGUUUAGGGUUAGGUAGAGUUUAGGAUAGGUAGGGUUUAGGGUAAGGGUUAGGUAGGGUUUAGGGUUAGGUUUUAGGUAGGGGUUUAGGGUUAGGAAAGGUUUAGGGUUAGGUAGGGUUUAGGGUUAGUUAGGGUUUAGGGUUAAAUAGGGUUUAGGGUUAGGUAGGGUUUACGUUUAGGGUUAGGUAGGUUUAGGGUUUAGGUAGUAUGAAGGGUUUAGGGAUUAGGGUUAGGUUUAUGUAGGGUUUAGGGUUAGAUAGGGUUAAGGUCUAGGUUUAGAUAGGGUGUAGGGUUAGGUAGGAUUUAGUGUUUAGGUAGUAUGAAAGGUUUAGCGUUGGGUUUAAGGUUUGGUUUAAAAUAAUGUUUAGGAUUAUAGGGUUUGGGGUUUUUUUGUUUUUUUGUUUAUACAUUUAGUAUUGAGUUUUUUCGAUAAAAUUUUAUAGUAAUAUUAUU
rnacentral:lncRNA from 1 species